GGGGCUGCUUUGGUUUCGACAUUUAAAAAUAAUUAUAAUAUGAUACAGGUCGAAGUAGGUAUUCUUCGUAAAAAUCUGCCAAUAAAUAAUAAAUGCUAACAAUAUCAUUUCCUUUAGUAGUAAAGCGAGAAAUUUAGGGAUUAGAAAUAUCUACUCUAAUUUAAUUCAAUUUGCUAGUUAAAAACUAAAACUUUUAUUCUAUUUAUUUGUUCACUUUUCCUAGACGUUUUGUCAUCUUUAGUUUAGAAUAAUCUUUAUCUUGUUCAGUUUUGAACUAUACCUGUGAAUGAGUAUUUUAAUUAAGUUUAGAUGGACGUGGGUUCAAUUCCCAUCAGCUCCA
rnacentral:tmRNA from 1 species